GUCAUUUGCUUCAGAGUCCAUGUCCUUUCUACAACAGAGAAUCGGUGGUCCCCCUGAUUUGCUGAAUCUCGGUCAUGAAGCUCAGUUUACUAUGCAGUGCAGCAUUUUGUUUUCUGCAAGCAGGUCCAGCGAGUGCUGGCAUCAUUCAGACUCCCAGAUCAAUGCUCCUGAAGACAGGGCAGCAAGUGACGAUGAAAUGUACCCAGGACAUGAAACAUGACUGCAUGUUCUGGUACCGACAGGACCCAGGGCUGGGACUGAGGCUAAUCUACUACUCGUAUGAUGUUGGCAUCACUGACAAAGGAGAUGUCUCUGAGGGGUACAGCGUCUCCAGAUCGAACACAGAGGACUUCUCCCUCACUCUGGAGUCGGUUACCCACUCCCAGACAUCUGUAUACCUCUGCGCCAGCAGCUAUACCACAGAGCUGUGUUCCUGCCUCCUCUCUGCACACAAAGAUACAUGCAGAGAAAAGGCACCCGCCCACCCCUGGAACUCAGUGACAAGCUAGAAUUCUCAACGCUAGCACCUUGGAGCUCUGAGUGUUCUAGGCACUGCAAACCUGGGCAGUGCAAAUCUCAGUCUGUGCUGAGGGGCGUAGAUCUACUGGCAAGCUCAGGCAGGUUUGGACCAGACCUUGGACUCGGAGGUCUCCGCUGUUGCUGUCUUUCGACUGAUGCUUUAAUUCUGAUUUUUCUGGUCUUUAUCUUGAGUCUGAGUAUUCCUGGAUGGAAAGUGACUUGAAAUUUGGAUAUAUUUUUUUCCUUGACACAACAUUCCUGCCUUCUCCCUCUGGGAUUCAGCUCACAUAAUAGGAAUGGGAUGAUUGAACAGUUGCUUAGAUAGAGAGACCAACAGCAGAAGCACCUCAGGUUGUACUUUGCCCUGCCAGAGACGAAGUCUAACUCUGAGCAAGCAUAUCUCUUUUAUUACUGGGCUGUAGUGAGUCCUGGAAUGUGGUACCACAUUCUCUAGACCAAAUGGCCAGAGCAGGAGAAAGGUUUUCUUAAGUGCUUGCAUCCCGUGUCUUCUUACAGGUGAUUUUCUCAUGGGAAUUUAGAUAGACCUGAGACCCAUCCAGAGUGCCAUCUUUAGAGUUCUCUUCCAUUGAGACCACUUAUGAUACCAAUAC